UUAAACAUAAUACGUUUCACCACAUUCGU
rnacentral:sRNA from 1 species